CAAGUCGAGUGCGCAGUCUUCUGUAGCAAUACAGGAGAUCGGCGCACGGCGCACGGGUGCGUAACACGUGGGUAACCUGCCCUCCAAAGGGGGAUAACCCGCCGAAAGGCGGGCUAAUACCGCAUGACAUUCCGGUGGCUUCGGCCGCUGGAAUCAAAGCCCGCAAGGGCGUUGGAGGAGGGGCCCGCGGCCGAUUAGCUUGUUGGCGAGGUAAUGGCUCACCAAGGCUUUGAUCGGUAGCCGGUCUGAGAGGAUGGCCGGCCACACUGGAACUGAGACACGGUCCAGACUCCUACGGGAGGCAGCAGUGGGGAAUCUUGCGCAAUGGGCGAAAGCCUGACGCAGCGACGCCGCGUGGGGGAUGAAGCUUCUCGGAGUGUAAACCCCUUUCGACCCGGACGAAACGCCCGCAAGGGCUUGACGGUACGGGUAUAAGAAGCCCCGGCUAACUACGUGCCAGCAGCCGCGGUAAGACGUAGGGGGCCAGCGUUGCUCGGAAUUACUGGGCGUAAAGGGUUCGUAGGCGGUGCGGUAAGUCGGAAGUGAAAUCUCUGGGCUUAACUCAGAGGCUGCUUUCGAAACUGCCGUGCUAGAGUGCGGGAGAGGCGAGUGGAAUUACAGGUGUAGCGGUGAAAUGCGUAGAUAUCUGUAGGAACACCCGUAGCGAAGGCGGCUCGCUGGACCGCAACUGACGCUGAGGAACGAAAGCUAGGGGAGCAAACAGGAUUAGAUACCCUGGUAGUCCUAGCCCUAAACCAUCAGGACUUGGGGUGGCCCGCGUUGGCGGGUCGUCCCGGAGCUAACGCGUUAAGUCCUGCGCCUGGGGAGUACGGUCGC
rnacentral:rRNA from 1 species